rnacentral:lncRNA from 1 species
GGAAAGGAUAGACUGCUCUUUGGAAAAUAAAAAAGUAAAUUUGUUGUCCCAUGAAAAAUGAAAUAUCUUGAAUGUCAGUAACAGAAAUGGAAUUAACAAGAGAUCUUUUUAUUGUUUUUUAAGGUCAUUAGGCUGUGAAUUCUAUAAUUAUGGAAAUCGUCAGUCCAGUUCUGAAAGAAUGUUUGCUCCCAUCCAUAAGGAAGUUUAAAAACAACAGCAAAACUCUCCCGGUGGAUUAUAUUGCACUUAAAACCACAAUGACCACAAACCGAAAAGAGAAAGAAGAAAAAAAAGUAUGAGAUCUUUUCAGCAUUAGACGCGGACAGGGGUACAAACAGAGGAACAGGAUAAUAUAUGGCAGAAGGCUAUCAUCUUCCCAGUGCAGCAAAUACUAGCUGGGAGAAUUGCAGAGAAGACAAUUUCUGCAGCACAAACAAGUUUCAGAUCCUAUUUUCCAUGUCUCACUUUUAAACGUUAUUAAAUAUUUAAUAGCAAAGUAAAACAGAGUGACAGUGUUGAGUCUAUGUGAAAUCCAAGAUGUUCUUUUUCUAGUGUUUUGAAAGCAUUCAGGACGCGGAGAAAAUAAUCCGGCAGGAAUGGCAGCUCCUCUCCGAGGUAAAUACUUGCCAGGAACAAAAUAUAAUUCAAUUGCUCUCUUUUUUUUCUGAAAAGGUUGCUUGUGGAAUAUCCAUCAUAAAGUCAUUUCUAUUUCUUAAGAGCUAUUAGUGCCUGGCCCCUUGGCUUCAUUAAGACACUCUUUUUCAAUAUAUUCUUUUAUUUUAGACUUCAUCCCACUUCUCAGCUACACAGUGCACAUUGCAGUUUCUCAGCUCCUGAGGGAGACGUCGGCCACGCCCCUCAGUGACUGGCAUGCAAGGACAAGGCAGCAGCCGGGGAGAGGCGGAUUGGGUGGCACUGAGUCGAAACAUUUCUUAAACACUAGAGGUUAAAAGGGAGUUUGUCCAAGCCUCUGAGACACAGCACUGUGCCGUUCAGCUGACACUAACAUUCGCACACUCCCCAUCAGGAGGGCCUCGGCUCCCGGCCUGUUCAUCUCACUCCACGUUCGGAGCGAAAGGAGCUGAAGGAGCUAGAAGUUUGGACAGUCCCUGUCACCAGACUUCAGCGUUGCCUAAGCAAGCAUUAAGGGAUUAUGGUAAUAAUCGGUGUGCUUACACCAAAUAAAAGGUUUCAUUAAUCAAGCCA